rnacentral:rRNA from 1 species
ACAAAAGGCCCCUAAUCAUGCAGUCGAGGGGCAGAUUCACUUCGGUGAGAUGGCGACCGGCGCACGGGUGCGUAACGCGUAUGCAACCUACCUUGUACAGGGGGAUAGCCCGGAGAAAUUCGGAUUAAUACCCCGUGGUAUUAUGAUACGGCAUCGUAUAAUGAUUAAAGAUUUAUCGGUACAAGAUGGGCAUGCGUGACAUUAGCUAGUUGGUACGGUAAUGGCGUACCAAGGCGAUGAUGUCUAGGGGUUCUGAGAGGAUGAUCCCCCACACUGGUACUGAGAUACGGACCAGACUCCUACGGGAGGCAGCAGUAGGGAAUAUUGGUCAAUGGGCGGAAGCCUGAACCAGCCAUGCCGCGUGCAGGAAGACGGCCUUCUGGGUUGUAAACUGCUUUUACCAGGGAACAAAUAGGCCAUGCGUGGCAAGUUGAGUGUACCUGGGGAAUAAGCACCGGCUAACUCCGUGCCAGCAGCCGCGGUAAUACGGAGGGUGCAAGCGUUGUCCGGAUUUAUUGGGUUUAAAGGGUGCGUAGGCGGUUUAUUAAGUCAGUGGUGAAAGCCCCCAGCUCAACUGGGGAACUGCCAUUGAAACUGGUAGACUUGAGUACAGACGAGGUAGGCGGAAUUUAUGGUGUAGCGGUGAAAUGCAUAGAUACCAUAAAGAACCCCGAUAGCGAAGGCAGCUUACUAGACUGUAACUGACGCUGAGGCACGAAAGCGUGGGGAGCGAACAGGAUUAGAUACCCUGGUAGUCCACGCAGUACACGAUGAUGACUCGAUGUGUGCGAUAUAUUGUACGCGUCUUAGCGAAAGCUUAAGUCAUCCACCUGGGGAGUACGCUCGCAAGAUGAAACUCAAUGUUU